rnacentral:rRNA from 1 species
UGGGGAAUUUUGGACAAUGGGCGCAAGCCUGAUCCAGCCAUGCCGCGUGCAGGAUGAAGGCCUUCGGGUUGUAAACUGCUUUUGUACGGAGCGAAAAGGUCUGCCCUAAUACGGUGGGCUCAUGACGGUACCGUAAGAAUAAGCACCGGCUAACUACGUGCCAGCAGCCGCGGUAAUACGUAGGGUGCGAGCGUUAAUCGGAAUUACUGGGCGUAAAGCGUGCGCAGGCGGUUAUACAAGACAGAGGUGAAAUCCCCGGGCUCAACCUGGGAACUGCCUUUGUGACUGCAUAGCUAGAGUACGGUAGAGGGGGAUGGAAUUCCGCGUGUAGCAGUGAAAUGCGUAGAUAUGCGGAGGAACACCGAUGGCGAAGGCAAUCCCCUGGACCUGUACCGACGCUCAUGCACGAAAGCGUGGGGAGCAAACA